UGGACCUCAGAUCAGGCAAGAUUACCCGCUGAGUUUAAGCAUAUCACUAAGCGGAGGAAAAGAAACUAACUAGGAUUUCCCUAGUAG
rnacentral:rRNA from 2 species